rnacentral:rRNA from 1 species
UGUCAGCAGCCGCGGUAAUACAGAGACUGCAAGCGUUAUUCGGAUUCACUGGGCGUAAAGGGUGCGCAGGCGGCCAUGUGUGUGAGGCGUGAAAGCCCGGGGCUUAACCCCGGAAUUGCACCUCAAACUACAUGGCUAGAGCAUUGGAGAGGGUAGCAGAAUUCACGGUGUAGCAGUGAAAUGCGUAGAUAUCGUGAGGAAUACCAGAGGCGAAGGCGGCUACCUGGACAAUUGCUGACGCUCAGGCACGAAAGCGUGGGGAGCAAAAGGGAUUAGAUACCCCUGUAGUCCACGCCCUAAACGGUGCACACUAGGUCUUGGCGGAUUCGACCCCACCAGGGCCCAAGCUAACGCGUUAAGUGUGCCGCCUGAGGACUACGGCCGCAAGGCUAAAACUCAAAGGAAUUGACGG